rnacentral:miRNA from 1 species
GAUGAAAUUGAGAAGAGGAUGAGAAUGGAGAAUGGGAGGGAUGAGUAACAAAAGUGAAAACAAUUUCAAAUAUAUUUCAGUUUUUAGUUUUUGUUUUUACUUUUGUUACUCAUCCCUCACAUCCUCCCUUUUAGUCUCAUCUCCACUCUCAUU